rnacentral:misc_RNA from 1 species
UCUCCGUAGGUGAACCUGCGGAGGGAUCAUUACAGAGUUCAUGCCCUACCGGGUAGAUCUCCCACCCUAUGUUAUUAUUACUUUGUUGCUUUGGCGGGCCGUUAGGCUCCGGCCCGACUACCGGCCCCGGCUGGUAAGCGCCCGCCAGAGGACCCAAAACCCUGAAUAUUAGUGUCGUCUGAGUGCUAUAUAAUAGUUAAAACUUUCAACAACGGAUCUCUUGGUUCUG